GACGGACGCUGGCGGCGUGCUUAACACAUGCAAGUCGAACGGAAAGGCCCUGCUUUUGUGGGGUGCUCGAGUGGCGAACGGGUGAGUAACACGUGAGUAACCUGCCCUUGACUUUGGGAUAACUUCAGGAAACUGGGGCUAAUACCGGAUAGGAGCUCCUGCUGCAUGGUGGGGGUUGGAAAGUUUCGGCGGUUGGGGAUGGACUCGCGGCUUAUCAGCUUGUUGGUGGGGUAGUGGCUUACCAAGGCUUUGACGGGUAGCCGGCCUGAGAGGGUGACCGGCCACAUUGGGACUGAGAUACGGCCCAGACUCCUACGGGAGGCAGCAGUGGGGAAUAUUGCACAAUGGGCGGAAGCCUGAUGCAGCAACGCCGCGUGCGGGAUGACGGCCUUCAGGUUGUAAACCGCUUUCGCCUGUGACGAAGCGUGAGUGACGGUAAUGGGUAAAGAAGCACCGGCUAACUACGUG
rnacentral:rRNA from 1 species